CAAAAAACAUGUUUUUUGCAGCUCUCUUACUGCUCUUAGCAACUUCAUGUGUGAAGUGUGAACAGCUGACACAGCCAGCCUCAGAGACUGUGCAGCCAGGUCAACGUCUGACCAUCACCUGUCAGGUCUCUUAUUCUGUUACUGGCUACUACACAGCUUGGAUCAGAAAGCCUGCAGGAAAAGGACUGGAGUGGAUUGGGAUGGCAGCAACUGGAUCUACAACAUACUACAAAGAUUCACUUAAAAGCAAGUUCAGUAUUUCCACAGACUCUUCCAGUAAAACAGUGACUUUAACUGGACAGAAUCUGCAGCCUGAUGACACAGCUGUGUAUUACUGUGCCAGAAACUCACAGUAA